UACAGAGGUCUCAAGCGUUGUUCGGAUUCAUUGGGCGUAAAGGGUGCGUAGGCGGCGCGGUAAGUCGGAUGUGAAAUCUCGGGGCUUAACUCCGAAACUGCAUUCGAUACUGCCGUGCUUGAGGACUGGAGAGGAGACUGGAAUUUACGGUGUAGCGGUGAAAUGCGUAGAUAUCGUAAGGAAGACCAGUGGCGAAGGCGGGUCUCUGGACAGUUACUGACGCUGAGGCACGAAGGCCAGGGGAGCAAACGGG
rnacentral:rRNA from 1 species